CACUGUAAUUAGGGUGGAAUGUAAAGAAGAAAAGAGGACGGAAGCAACAAAUGAAGACAUAAGAAAGGAAAAAAAGGACUAAGCAGUAAAAGGGAGAAACCCACAUAGAUUAAAGACACACCUGUCAUCACUACAUCACUGCUGAUUUCACCCCUCUUCCUUUUUUUCACGACCCCGAGAACCCCGUCUGGAGUCUGUCCUGUUGAAGAGAGAGAGGAAAUGCAAAAUUCACGCACAUGUUCUAAAAGGACAGUUGCAAAUCCCAGCUAAACUCAUAUUCUCUUUUCUGUCUUGAUGGGCAGUGACAAAGAUUUAUACAUGGUGGUCUGAUGGUCAUUUUUGCAUAUGAGACAAAAAUAAUUAUUAUAUCCUAGAGAUGACAUGUAGAUGGAGAAGAGAAGUGGUCCAAGCACUGAGCCCUGAGGCACUCCAGUAUCUAGAUGUUGAGACUUAGACACCUUACCCCUCCACGACACCCUGAAGGACCUACCUGAGAGCAAAGAACAGAUGGAGGCUUCUUCUGUGUUUUGCAAGCCCGAGAAAAAGCAGCGGCAACAUAAACUCCCACACAUAAAUAAAAACAAGAACAGUGGGAUACAGACUGAGAACAUUAUCCCCCCACGCGCCUCCCCUCCAAACCCUGUCCCAAGAGAGGAACUUCAGCUGAGGAUGGUGGGGCUCGUAAAUCAGUGAUUGCCGUGUUGAGAUUGAGACUGUCUCCCUACAUUCUCCCUGAAGAAUUAUGAGCUCUCAUGCUUUUUCUUUCAGUUUGAUGAUUCUGCCUCAUCUAUGCAUGUAUCAUUGAAGACUAAAAUCUUCAUCUGUUUCACAAUGACAUUAAGACUGUAGCAAUAUGUGUGUGUGUUUGUUGAUGAAGUCUGAGAGCUCUCUAACAGGUCAUUCUUUAAUGACCAUAAAGAGGCAGAAGAUCUAUGAUUAAAGGUUCUGGUCUGCUAUUACUAAGUGUAUCAGAGAAAAAUGGCUUCUUCUGGACAUAAAUAUUUGCAAUGGCUUUAGUUAGAGAGUUUUAGGGGUGAUCUGAAAGCCCAGCGUUCGGUGGAUGGGGUCUUGAGAGAGGCCUGUAUCCGGCAGGCUGCUCCCCUCUGACCCCGGGCGGCGUGGGAAAGAGAGUAUGGGGAACUGGCGUGACCAGGGACAUUAACACAGAUGACUCUAGCAGACCUGGCUGAACACCUGUCCUCCUCCUCUCUACCUCAGACAUCAGUCAGUGGAGCUUCGCCAAACCACUUUUCUCCCAAUGAGAUGGGGAGGAAGCCUGAUCAUAUCCAAGAAAUCCUUGCCUUCAUCCCAUUUUCUCUACAUAAUGUACAUAAAAUGUGAUAACUAUGGAAGCUUGUUUCUGCCAUGAAAUAAAAAAUAUAAAAGGUAAUUGCGACUUUUUAUCUCACAAUUCGGGCUCUUUAUUUUUUCAUAAAGAAUUUUUUCAGAAUUGCGAUAUAAACUCACAAUUGUGAGUUAUAAAGUCAGAAUUGUGAGAUAUAAACUCGCAAUUGCAUGUUUUAAUGUCCAAUUAUGAGGGGAAAAAGACUGAUGUUUUUCUCUGAAUUGCAAGUUUAUCUCACAAUUCUGACUUUAUAACUCACAACUGCAUGAUUUUUUCUCAGAAUUGUGAGUUUAUAUCAUUAUUCUGAGUUUAUAAGACGCAAUUCUGACUUAAUAUUACGCAAUUCUGACUUUAUAAUUCGCAAUUACGAGUUUAAAUCUCCCAAUUCAAAAUUGUGAGAUGCAAACUCGCAAUUGAGAGAAAAAAAGUCAGAAUUGUGAGAUAAAAAGUCACAAUUACCUUUUUUAUUUUUUUAUUUAGUGGUGGAAACAAGCUUCCAUAAAUAACAUAUCAAAUGUUUAAUUAUUUAUAAAUAAAGAAUUUGGUAAUAUUACGGUUUCAUUUUGCAGUCUAAAGACUUAGUCUAAAGUUGGAAAUUUUGAAAAAAAAUAAA